rnacentral:rRNA from 1 species
GACGAACGCUGGCGGCGUGCUUAACACAUGCAAGUCGAACGGAAAGGCCCUGCUUUUGUUGGGUGUGGGUGUGGCGAACGGGUGUGUAACACGUGAGUGACCCCUCCUUGCUUGUGGGAUAACUUGGGGAAACAGGGGCUAAUACAGUAUAGGAGCACUUGCUGCAUGGUGGGGGUUGGAAACUUUCGGCGGUUGGGGAGGGGCUGGCGUCUCAUCAGCUUGGUGGUGGGGUAGCGGCUUACCAAGGCGGUGAUGGGUAGCCGGCCUGAGAGGGUGAACGGGCAAAAUGGGACAGAGAAACGGGCCAGACUCCUUCGGGAAGCAGCAGUGGGGGAUUUUGCGCCAUGGGCCGAAGCGUCACGCAGCGAAGCCGCGUGCGCGAUGUGGACCUUUGGGUUGUAAACCGCUCUGGCCUUUGAGGAGGCGGGAGUGACGGUAAUGGGUAAAGAAGCGCCGGCUAACUACGUG